AAAAUGUUUGUGGCAUUUUAAAAAAAUCUAACAGUUAGCAAAUGGUUUGCAUGUUUAAGAAACAUGUUCAUGGCAUUUACGCAUAAUGUUCAAUGUGUGUUAAAAAUAUUCAUCGUGUAUCAAAAAAUGUUCAACAUGUAUUUGAGAAAAAUGUUCAACCCAUAAAUGGAAAUACUCAAUGUGUAUGUGAAAACUGAUCAUCAUGUAUAUGAAAAAUGUUCUAUGUGCAUUUGAAAAAUGUUUGCGUGUAUUUCAGAAAUGAAGGAAAAAAUGAAAGGAAAGGAAGACAAUAAUAAAUAAAUGAGCACAAAAAAAAAGGAGAAAAUCGAAAGGAAAAAAAUCGAUAUAGAAAACACGUAGAAAAGAACACGCGAAAUUUUAGAUAGUCCAAACCGGUCCAUAGCUUUCUAAAACCGCUCCCACAAAAACCACAGAACACACCUGGGUCGUCAUGCUAGCGGUGCUAAGGGCGAGACAAGAUGAGCUACCGCCUCGUAAAGAGUGAGAUAUAGCUAUCGUGUUGUUUGGUACACAUGGGAUUGGGACCAGGGAUGGAGCUUAGUUGAAACAAAAGUGAGCGGUGGUCUGCCUAGCCUUGGGCCAAAUCAUUGAAUAAGGUGAAACUGGGUUCGAGAAGCUAAACUCGUGUGUUUUUCUUCAAUCUGGCCCGCCCAAUAAUAUUUUGGUACCUCCACCACUGCUUUGCGAGGGCUUUCAUGGGAUUUUCCCUGUUGGGCUGAAAAGCCCAAAAAUACCCAGAGUGACGUUUUGGACACAUGGUUUGAUAGGAUCUGCCUCGUUCUAUCUCGUGAAUUCCCUCCAUCGAGGUGGACCGGGCAGCUUCGACCUUCCUUCGACCGAGGUAGAUCUGAGACGAUGCACACUACUGCAAAGUAAAAGUGCAUUUAGUCCCUGGUGGUAUUUUAAUGUGAUGACAAUGUGGUUAGUGAGAAUCUAACAGUUAACAAAUGGUUUGCAUGUUUCAAAAACAAGCUCAUGGCAUUUACGCAUAAUGUUCAAUGUGUGUUAAAAAUAUUCAUCGUGUAUCAAAAAAUGUUCAACAUGUAUUUGAGAAAAAUGUUCAACCCAUAAAUGGAAAUACUCAAUGUGUAUGUGAAAACUGAUCAUCAUGUAUAUGAAAAAUGUUCUAUGUGCAUUUGAAAAAUGUUUGCGUGUAUUUCAGAAAUGAAGGAAAAAAUGAAAGGAAAGGAAGACAAUAAUAAAUAAAUGAGCACAAAAAAAAGGAGAAAAUUGAAAGGAAAAAAAUCGAUAUAGAAAACACGUAGAAAAGAACACGCGAAAUUUUAGAUAGUCCAAACCGGUCCAUAGCUUUCUAAAACCGCUCCCACAAAAACCACAGAACACACAUGGGUCGUCAUGCUAGCGGCGCUAGGGGCGAGACAAGAUGAGCUACCGCCUCGUAAAGAGUGAGAUAUAGCUAUCGUGUUGUUUGGUACACAUGGGAUUGGGACCAGGGAUGGAGCUUAGUUGAAACAAAAGUGAGCGGUGGUCUGCCUAGCCUUGGGCCAAAUCAUUGAAUAAGGUGAAACUGGGUUCGGGAAGCUAAACUCGUGUGUUUUUCUUCAAUCUGGCCCGCCCAAUAAUAUUUUGGUACCUCCACCACUGCUUUGCGAGGGCUUUCAUGGGAUUUUCCCUGCUGGGCUGAAAAGUCCAAAAAUACCCAGAGUGACGUUUUGGACACAUGGUUUGAUAGGAUCUGCCUCGUUCUAUCUCGUGAAUUCCCUCCAUCGAGGUGGACCGGGCAGCUUCGACCUUCCUUCGACCGAGGUAGAUCUGAGACGAUGCACGCUACUGCCAAGUAAAAGUGCAUUUAGUCCCUGGUGGUAUUUUAAUGUGAUGACAAUGUGGUUAGUGAGAAUCUAACAGUUAACAAAUGGUUUGCAUGUUUAAAAAACAUGUUCAUGGCAUUUACGCAUAAUGUUCAAUGUGUGUUAAAAAUAUUCAUCGUGUAUCAAAAAAUGUUCAACAUGUAUUUGAGAAAAAUGUUCAACCCAUAAAUGGAAAUACUCAAUGUGUAUGUGAAAACUGAUCAUCAUGUAUAUGAAAAAUGUUCUACGUGCAUUUGAAAAAUGUUUGCGUGUAUUUCAGAAAUGAAGGAAAAAAUGAAAGGAAAGGAAGACAAUAAUAAAUAAAUGAGCACAAAAAAAAGGAGAAAAUUGAAAGGAAAAAAAUCGAUAUAGAAAACACGUAGAAAAGAACACGCGAAAUUUUAGAUAGUCCAAACCGGCCCAUAGCUUUCUAAAACCGCUCCCACAAAAACCACAGAACACAC
rnacentral:lncRNA from 1 species